AACGUAGGAGACAAACGUUAUCCGGAGUUACUGGGCGUAAAGGGCGUGCAGGCGGUCUGUUAAGUCUGGCGUGAAAGCUCUCGGCUAAACCGGGAGAGGUCGUUGGAUACUGACGGACUAGAGGACGGUAGAGGCGUGUGGAAUUCCGGGUGUAGUGGUGAAAUGCGUAGAGAUCCGGAGGAACACCAGUGGCGAAGGCGACACGCUGGGCCGUACCUGACGCUGAGGAGCGAAAGCAUGGGGAGCGAACAGG
rnacentral:rRNA from 1 species